rnacentral:rRNA from 1 species
AGUGAACGCUGGCGGCAGGCCUAACACAUGCAAGUCGAGCGGCAGCGCGGGGGCAACCCUGGCGGCGAGCGGCGGACGGGUGAGGAAUUCGUCGGAAUCUGCCUUUUUGUGGGGGAUACGUAGGGAAACUUACGCUAAUACCGCAUACGUCCUACGGGAGAAAGUGGGGGACCGCAAGGCCUCACGCAGAAAGAUGAGCCGACGACCGAUUAGCUAGUUGGUGGGGUAAAGGCCCACCAAGGCGACGAUCGGUAGCCGGUCUGAGAGGAUGAUCAGCCACACUGGGACUGAGACACGGCCCAGACUCCUACGGGAGGCAGCAGUGGGGAAUAUUGGACAAUGGGCGCAAGCCUGAUCCAGCCAUGCCGCGUGUGUGAAGAAGGCCUUCGGGUUGUAAAGCACUUUUGUCCGGAAAGAAAUCCCUGGAGCUAAUACCUUCGGGGGAUGACGGUACCGGAAGAAUAAGCACCGGCUAACUUCGUG